UUAAUUGAAACCAAAAAGAGGUAUAUUAUUGUUAAUAAUAAAAUUGAAUGAAUAUUCCAAUUAAA
rnacentral:tRNA from 1 species